rnacentral:misc_RNA from 1 species
UCCGACUUAACGUCGGCAGUCUCGCUAGAGUGCCCAACUAAAUGCUGGCAACUAACGACAGGGGUUGCGCUCGUUAUGGGACUUAACCCGACAUCUCACGACACGAGCUGACGACAGCCAUGCAGCACCUAUAUUACAGUUCCGAAGAACUAAGAUAUCUCUACCUUAUUCCAUAACAUUUCGAGCCCAGGUAAGGUUUUUCGCGUUGCAUCGAAUUAAACCACAUGCUCCACCGCUUGUGCGGGCCCCCGUCAAUUUCUUUGAGUUUUAAUCUUGCGACCGUACUUCCCAGGCGGGACACUUAACGCGUUAGCUUCGGCACUGAAGGGGUCAAUACCUCCAACACCAAGUGUCCAUCGUUUACGGUGCGGACUAC